rnacentral:rRNA from 1 species
UACGGGGGGAGCAAGCGUUGUUCGGAUUUACUGGGCGUAAAGGGCGCGUAGGCGGCCACCGCAAGUCGACUGUGAAAUCUCCGGGCUUAACUCGGAAAGGUCAGCCGAUACUGCGGGGCUAGAGUGCAGAAGGGGCAACCGGAAUUCUUGGUGUAGCGGUGAAAUGCGUAGAUAUCAAGAGGAACACCUGAGGUGAAGACGGGUUGCUGGGCUGACACUGACGCUGAGGCGCGAAAGCUAGGGUAGCAAACGGG